rfam:Picea glauca, whole genome shotgun sequence.
ACAUGCCUACAACAUAGCAUUAAUGCACCGGAUCCCAUUAGAACUCCGCAGUUAAGUGCACUCAGGCUAGAGUAGUACUAGGAUGGGUGACUUCCCAGGAAUUCCUAGUGUUUUACAUGCC